rfam:Arabidopsis thaliana chromosome 4, complete sequence.
UGAUGAUGAUGAUUCUAUACUUGAUGUUAUUGACCAGGUUAUAUCUGAGUAUAAUCAAAUGCUUCCUGAGUCU